CGCAUCUGUGCAUGCAGCAUAUCAAUAAGCGGAGGAAAAGAAACUAACAAGGAUUCCCCUAGUAACGGCGAGUGAAGCGGGAAGAGCUCAAAUUUGAAAUCUUAAAGGGUUUCCCUUUACGAAUUGUAGUUUAAAGAAGUGUUUUCUGUUGAGGUUUUGGUAAAAGUUCUUUGGAAUAGGACAUCAUAGAGGGUGAGAAUCCCGUAUUUGACCUUUACUUUCAACUUUGUGAUACACUUUCAAAGAGUCGGAUUGUUUGGGAAUGCAGUCCAAAAUGGGUGGUAAAUUUCAUCUAAAGCUAAAUAUUGGCGAGAGACCGAUAGCGAACAAGUACCGUGAGGGAAAGAUGAAAAGAACUUUGAAAAGAGAGUUAAACAGUACGUGAAAUUGUCAAAAGGGAAGCGUUUGACACCAGUGUUGUUUUUCUGAAAAUCAAUUAAAGAACUGUUUAUGCUAAGUUGUUUAGACUUUAUCAGCUAACUGUUUAGUUUUGAGCUUUUCUUUAAUGCACUUUUCAGUUAACAAGUCAACAUCAAUUUCUUUUGCUGUAAAAAAGCUUGAGGAAGGUGGCUUGAGAUUCGUCUUAAGUGUUUAUAGCCUCUUGCCUAUGCAGUCGGAGAGAUUGAGGUCUGCAGCGUAGAUCCUUCGGGGCUAAAUGCAUUUGUGCUAAGUUAUAGCAUUUUAUAGACAACUUGUUGACUAUGAUUUGUCUUGUAGCUUACUCGCUUAUGUUAUUUUACCUACGCUUAGGAUGUUGACUAGCAGUAUAGACUGU
rnacentral:rRNA from 1 species